GGCGGCGUGCCUAAUACAUGCAAGUCGAGCGCAGGAAACAAGUAGAUCCCUUCGGGGUGACGCUUGUGGAAUGAGCGGCGGACGGGUGAGUAACACGUGGCAACCUACCUUGUAGACUGGGAUAACUCCGGGAAACCGGAGCUAAUACGGGAUGAUCAUUUGAAUCGCAUGAUUGAAAUGUAAAAGUGGGGAGUAAUCCUCACACUAUGAGAUGGGCCCGCGGCGCAUUAGCUAGUUGGUAAGGUAAUGGCUUACCAAGGCAACGAUGCGUAGCCGACCUGAGAGGGUGAUCGGCCACACUGGAACUGAGACACGGUCCAGACUCCUACGGGAGGCAGCAGUAGGGAAUCAUCCGCAAUGGGCGAAAGCCUGACGGUGCAACGCCGCGUGAACGAUGAAGGUUUUCGGAUCGUAAAGUUCUGUUAUGAGGGAAGAGCAAGUGCCGUUCGAAUAGGGCGGCACCUUGACGGUACCUCACGAGAAAGCCCCGGCUAACUACGUG
rnacentral:rRNA from 1 species